rnacentral:tRNA from 1 species
CCCUCUGGCUCAGUUGGUAGAGCAUGGUGUUUGCAACGCCAGGGUUGUGAGUUCAAUUCCCACAGGGGGC